rnacentral:rRNA from 1 species
GACGAACGCUGGCGGCGUGCUUAACACAUGCAAGUCGAACGGAAAGGCCCUGCUUUUGUGGGGUGCUCGAGUGGCGAACGGGUGAGUAACACGUGAGUAACCUGCCCUUGACUUUGUGAUAACUUCAGGAAACUGGGACUAAUACCGGAUAGGAGCUCCUGCUGCAUGGUGGGGGUUGGAAAGUUUCGGCGGUUGGGGAUGGACUCGCGGCUUAUCAGCUUGUUGGUGGGGUAGUGGCUUACCAAGGCUUUGACGGGUAGCCGGCCUGAGAGGGUGACCGGCCACAUGGGGACUGAGAUACGGCCCAGACUCCUACGGGAGGCAGCAGUGGAGAAUAUUGCACAAUGGGCGGAAGCCUGAUGCAGCAACGCCGCGUGCGGGAUGACGGCCUUCGGGUUGUAAACCGCUUUCGCCUGUGACGAAGCGUGAGUGACGGUAAUGGGUAAAGAAGCACCGGCUAACUACGUG